rnacentral:rRNA from 1 species
AUUGAACGCUGGCGGCAUGCUUUACACAUGCCAGUCGAACGGUAACAGGCCGCAAGGUGCUGACGAGUGACGAACGGGUGAGUAAUGCAUCGGAACGUGCCCAGUCGUGGGGGAUAACUACUCGAAAGAGUAGCUAAUACCGCAUACGAUCUAUGGAUGAAAGCGGGGGACCGUAAGGCCUCGCGCGAUUGGAGCGGCCGAUGUCAGAUUAGGUAGUUGGUGGGGUAAAGGCUCACCAAGCCAACGAUCUGUAGCUGGUCUGAGAGGACGACCAGCCACACUGGGACUGAGACACGGCCCAGACUCCUACGGGAGGCAGCAGUGGGGAAUUUUGGACAAUGGGCGCAAGCCUGAUCCAGCAAUGCCGCGUGCAGGAAGAAGGCCUUCGGGUUGUAAACUGCUUUUGUACGGAACGAAACGGCUCUGGUUAAUACCCGGGGCUAAUGACGGUACCGUAAGAAUAAGCACCGGCUAACUACGUG